CCUACGGGUGGCAGCAGUAGGGAAUCUUGCACAAUGGGGGAAACCCUGAUGGAGCGACGCCGCGUGAGUGAAGAAGUAAUUCGUUAUGUAAAGCUCUGUCGUCAGGGAAGAAAAUGACGGUGCCUGAGUAAGACACCCCGGCUAACUGCGUUCCAGCAGCCGCGGUCCUACGUAGGGGGCAAGCGUUAUCCGGAUUUGCUGGGUGUAAAGGCAGCGUAGACGGGAGUGCAAGUCUGGAGUGAAAGGCGGGGGGUCAACCCCAGGACUGCUCUGGAAACUGUACGGCUGGAGUGCAGGAGAGGAAAGUGGAAUUCCUAGUGUAGCGGUGAAAUGCGUAGAUAUUAGGAGGAACACCAGUGGCGAAGGCGGCUUACUGGACUGUAACUGACGUUGAGGCUCGAAAGCGUGGGGAGCAAACAGGAUUAGAUACCCGAGUAGUC
rnacentral:rRNA from 1 species